rnacentral:lncRNA from 1 species
ACCAUUCACCAUGCCAAGAAAAAAUAUGGCAUCACAUAUUUUUGGCAUUAAGAAGGAAGAGUCCUUCUUAAUGAAGUCUCUUAAAUUCCUUUUGGAUUUCACAUGUUCCUUUAUUUCCACACGUCAUAUGAUGACUCUUAGGAUAUAUGCAUGCAGAAGAGAGGUUUGAGUCAUUCUCUGGAAAGGAACUCCAUGCCAAAAAUAAAUGUGAUACCCUUUCAUUUUGUGCGUUGAACAUUGGAAGAGUUUUUAAUGUUUUGGACUCUUGAUUUCACUCCUUUCCUUAAUUCCC